rnacentral:rRNA from 1 species
GACGAACGCUGGCGGCGUGCCUAAUACAUGCAAGUAGAACGCACAGUUUAUACCGUAGCUUGCUACACCAUAAACUGUGAGUUGCGAACGGGUGAGUAACGCGUAGGUAACCUGCCUGGUAGCGGGGAGUACCAUUGGAAACGAUAGGCUAUAACGCAUAAUAUUGAUUAUUGCAUGAUAAUUUAUUGAAAGAUGCCAUUGCAUUACUAACAGAUGGAACUGCGUUGUAUUAGCUAGUAGGUGAGGUAACGGCUCACCUAGGCGACGAUACAUAGCCGACCUGAGAGGGUGAUCGGCCACACUGGGACUGAGACACGGCCCAGACUCCUACGGGAGGCAGCAGUAGGGAAUCUUCGGCAAUGGACGAAAGUCUGACCGAGCAACGCCGCGUGAGUGAAGAAGGUUUUCGGAUCGUAAAGCUCUGUUGUAAGAGAAGAACGGGUGUGAGAGUGGAAAGUUCACACUGUGACGGUAUCUUACCAGAAAGGGACGGCUAACUACGUG